rnacentral:lncRNA from 1 species
GGCAUACGCAGAUUUCUACAGAAACUACGAUGUCAUGAAAGAUUUUGAGGAGAUGAGGAAGGCUGGUAUCUUUCAGAGUGUAAAGUAAUCUUGGAAUAUAAAGAAUUUCUUCAGGUUGAAUUACCUAGAAGUUUGUCACUGACUUGUGUUCCUGAACUAUGACACAUGAAUAUGUGGGCUAAGAAAUAGUUCCUCUUGAUAAAUAAACAAUUAACAAAUACUUUGGACAGUAAGUCUUUCUCAGUUCUUAAUGAUAAUGCAGGGCACUUACUAGCAUAAGAAUUGGUUUGGGAUUUAACUGUUUAUGAAGCUAACUUGAUUUCCGUGUUUUGUUAAAAUUUCAUUGUUCUAGCACAUCUUUAACUGUGAUAGUUUGUCCGUUUCAUUGCAGUUACUUGGUCUUGGGCUAUGGAUUAAAAAGUGUUCUUCAUGAGCCUGUAAGACUACUGUACUGUGGGCUCUAAGAAGAGAUAGAAUCCUAAUAAAAUCU